GUGCCAGCCGCCGCGGUAAAACCAGCACCUCAAGUGGUCAGGAUGAUUAUUGGGCCUAAAGCAUCCGUAGCCGGCUCUGUUAGUUUUCGGUUAAAUCUAUAUGCUCAACAUAUAGGCUGCCGGGAAUACUACAAAGCUAGGGAGUGGGAGAGGUAGACGGUACUCCGUAGGAAGGGGUAAAAUCCUUUGAUCUAUGGAUGACCACCUGUGGCGAAGGCGGUCUACCAGAACACGUCCGACGGUGAGGGAUGAAAGCUGGGGGAGCAAACCGGAUUAGAUACCCGGGUAGUCCCAGCUGUAAACUAUGCAAACUCAGUGAUGCAUUGGCUUGUGGCCAGUGCAGUGCCGCAGGGAAGCCGUUAAGUUUGCCGCCUGGGAAGUACGUACGCAAGUAUGAAACUUAAAGGAAUUGGCGGGGGAGCACCACAAGGGGUGAAGCCUGCGGUUCAAUUGGAGUCAACGCCAGAAAUCUUACCCGGAGAGACAGCAGAAUGAAGGUCAAGUUGAAGACUUUACCAGACAAGCUGAGAAGUGGUGCAUGGCCGUCGCCAGCUCGUGCCGUGAGAUGUCCUGUUAAGUCAGGUAACGAGCGAGAUCCUUGCCUCUAGUUGCUACCAUUACUCUCAGGAGUAGUGGGGCGAAUUAGCGGGACUGCCGUAGUUAAUACGGAGGAAGGAGAGGGCCACGGCAGGUCAGUAUGCCCUGAAACUCUGGGGCCACACGCGGGCUGCAAUGGUAGUGACAAUGUGUUCCGAAUCCGAAAGGAGGAGGUAAUCCAAAAACGCUACCACAGUUAUGACUGAGGGCUGCAACUCGCCCUCACGAAUAUGGAAUCCCUAGUAACUGCGUGUCAUUAUCGCGCGGUGAAUACGUCCCUGCUCCUUGCACACACCGCCCGUC
rnacentral:rRNA from 1 species